rnacentral:rRNA from 1 species
UACGUAGGGGGCAAGCGUUAUCCGGAUUUACUGGGUGUAAAGGGAGCGUAGGUGGUUUGCCAAGUCUGAUGUGAAAGCCCGGGGCUUAACCCCGGGAUUGCAUUGGAAACUGGUAAACUAGAGUGUUGGAGAGGCAAGUGGAAUUCCUAGUGUAGCGGUGAAAUGCGUAGAUAUUAGGAGGAACACCAGUGGCGAAGGCGGCUUGCUGGACAAUCACUGACACUGAGGCUCGAAAGCGUGGGGAGCAAACAGG